rnacentral:tRNA from 1 species
GGAGCAGCUCAGUGGCAGAACACGUGCUUAGCACGCACGAGGCCCUGGGUUCAACCCCCAGCAGCUCCA